AUUUAUAUAAUAUAAAAAGUAUAUUUAAUUUCCAAUUAAAAAGUUUAAAAAAAAAUAAUAUAAAUA
rnacentral:tRNA from 1 species